AGGGUAUAGUGGUGGAGGGGGGAACUUUAAGAAAACCAAAAGGGUUUGUCCAUAAUCCAUAAAUAGGCACAAGUCCGUAGCUCAUCGAAUAAAGCAAUGAUCAAAUCAAAUCAAAGUUUAUUUGUCAUGUGCGCCGAAUACAACAGGUGUAUUCACCUUACAGUGAAAUGCUUUCUUAUAGGCUCUAACCAAUAUUGCAAAAAAAGGUGUUAGGUGAACAAUAGGUAAGUAAAGAAACAAAACAACAGUAAAAAGACAGGCUAUAUACAGUAGCGAGGCUAUAAAGGUAGCGAGGCAACAUACAGACACCGGUUAGGCAGGCUGAUUGAGGUAGUAUGUACAUGUAGAUAUGAUUAAAGUGACUAUGCAUAUAUGAUGAACAGAGAGUAGCAGAAGUGUAAAAGAUCUGCUGAUUAUUUGUGAGGACAUAGGUAAAUAUGAACGAACCAGUCAGCACGUUAUAAAAUCCAUUAUAAUGCAGUUAUCAUAAGCAUGUAUGAUCUCUUCUCAUUUAAUCAGGCCCGUACAUGCUUAUAGCAAAUAAAGUAUUAAAACUGCGGGGUGUUAUAUUAUUAUAUCUACAGUACAUCAUAUUCUAGAUGCAAAUUCAUUGAAUUAAUUUGAUAUGAUUGCCACUUUACACCUCCCUUGAGACCAGGUUUUAGUUCCACUGUUCACUGAAGUGUGUGCAUCUGUGAGAAAUCAGUUGACAGUUGCAACAUCUGCCGGGGAAUUUAGUUGCUCCAGCUGUACAUACGUAAACCCAGUAUAAAUAAGUCUAGGGGGGGAGUUCACCGAUUUCUGACAUCUUUCAACCGUGUGGAGACGGCUCAUGAAACACAUGCCUUCCGAGGGGCUAAAACCUUGAUAAGACAAGGAGUCCAGGGACACUUGACUGAACAAUAUGGACCUCUGCUCAGUGUACUUCUAGUCUCAGAUAUAUAGUAUCUGCCGCCCCAGGGUCUGAUGGGUAUUUCCAUCACAGAGGGGGGAGGAUAAAAAGCAAAAGCUCGACAUGGAAACUCCCAACAAAUCCUGGAAAUGAGACAAAUAACCCACAGCCAGAACAGGAAAUUAGCCAGCAUGGAGAGUAACAAAGCAUCCUCUACCAAUGAAGAAAGAAUAGGAGGUCAUGCCAUAGACAUCAGUAGAGGGUGCGGAGGAGAGGACGGCUCAUAAUAAUGUCUGGAACGGAGCGAAUGGAAUGGCACCAAACCAUGUGUUUGAUGUAUUUGAUACCAUUCCACUCAUUCCGCUCCAGCCAUUAACACGAGCGUGUCCUCCCUAAUUAAGAUGCCACCAACCUCCUGUGAUAGACAUAGGCGGAGUUCCCCUACAGGACUUAGUCACCGCCUUGACACUCAUUGGGAGGUGUUCUGGAUUUCAACGGGGCGUAUGUUGGAUCACUUGUCAAGUUAAAAUAACUUAAGGGAAAGUUGGAAAUGUGGGAUCAAUAGGUUUUCUCAAUAGGAUCAAAAAGCAGGGAUGUGUAUCUAUCCAAGCCCCUAUGAAUUCCAUCUGAAUUACUGUAUCGCUCCAAGAGUGUCUAAGAGUGUGACUCAUCUCGGAAUUGGUUGACCUUUAGAGCAGGGUUCCCCAACUGGCGGUCAGUGGGUCGAAUUUGGGCCAGGGAUGGUUUCAUUUGGUCCUCCCAAGUUUUCUGAGCAAAAAAAAAAAAAUUUUUUACAUUUUCAUUGUUGGACAUAAAACUCCAGGAUAUCAGCUCCAAGUGAUUUUAAUUAAAUGAAUGAAAUCUGUUUAAAUUAUUCCCACGCAUAAUAGAGAGACGUGAUCGUAUACAAAUGUAAGCAACGUUUGAAAUUAUUAUGUUUUAGCCAGACAUUAUAUCGGUUUGGGCUUCUUGCAGUCAAUUUUCAGUCUACAAAUGAUUUGUAAUUCUGUUCCGGCCCCCUGACCAUCCUCUCAACAGAGUUAAUAAUCACUGCUCUAGAGUUAUGGAGGGAGUUUGUGUUUGGGAGGGCAGGGCUGAUAGUAAUUUCUGAAUGGCAUCCAGUGUUUGACUAUGAGAUCUCCUACACGAUAAACAACUAUCUGAUCUUAUCCGAGAGAAGCCAAUCAACUCUCACUGAUUCUCACUCUAGUUGGCGCAAUUGUGAACCUACGUACCAACUCACCAGUUCACCAGUUUUAUUAAUUGAUCAAUGUUUGGUUGCUAUAACAACUACACCGAGUGGCGCUGAUAGCUCAGUUGAAGCAUGAUGGGUUUGGUUCCCAUUUGCAUCACAUCUUUUAAACAUACAGGUCAGUGGAGGCGGCUGAGGGGACGACGGCUCACAAUAAUGGUUGGAACGGAGCGAAUGGAAUUAAGGUGCCACCAACCUCCUGUGAUACAGGCAUGCAUUUCAGUUGCCUUGAAUAAACCUGUCUCGUAAAAAGACAAUAUUUGUUAAUGAAUGUGUUUGCAACACUACUGUUAUUUGAUAUACUACUUACUAUUUACUUUUAUCCUUUCUUACAUUUGAACAGCUGAAGCAAGCACACAACCUUUCUUCAGAGCAGAGGGAAAGAAAAGGCCUAUCUCAGGGAGACAGACUAGCCAUAUCUCCAUUAGACACACAGCAUCUGGAAGUGAGCCCCUCUGGAAAACCACCUCUAUGAGGAAGUCCCAAAUGGCACCCAGUUGCCUAUGUAGUGCACUAAUUUUGACCAGGACUCAUUACAAGUAGUGCAGUAUAAAGGGAUUAGGGUUCCAUUUGGACAGAGGUGUGAAGUAACUAAUUACAGCUACUCUCGUUACUGUAAUUGACUAGCUUUUCCGAGUACUUAAACUUUGAAUAUUUUUGAAAGUCAGUAAUUUUACUUAUACUUGAGGAAAAUUGCAUUAUAGUAACAGUACUUCUAGUUGAGUAGGAUAUUUUAGUACUCUUAAAAGAUACAUUUUGUGAGUGAGGGACUGAGUGAGUGAAGGAAAGAGUGUGAAUGGGGGAGUGAGUGAAUAUCGGAAGGGACCCUGGACAAGUAACAAGUAACAGGGGGGGGAAUGAGGGAUUGAAUAAGUGAAAAAAUUUGACAUGUUUAUUUAUGGAGUCUGUAUAUAUACUGUAUAUAGAAGUCUGGCAACUUUGUUUAUUAACUUUAUUUUGUAUAUAUUUUUUACCAAUACAUCUUCAUUGCUUUGAAUGUUUAAGUUGACAAAUGUAUAUUUUUAGUAUAUUUUUGACAAAUCCUUCGUUUUCACGCGCCUUGCUGCAACUCAUAAAAUAAAUUAAAACGUAGUUCUUACUGUA